UGCAGUCGAGCGGAAGGCCCUUUCGGGGGUACUCGAGCGGCGAACGGGUGAGUAACACGUGAGUAAUCUGCCUUGUGCUCUGGGAUAGCCACCGGAAACGGUGAUUAAUACCGGAUAUGACCGCUGCACGCAUGUGUUGGUGGUGGAAAGUUUUUUCGGCGCAAGAUGUGCUCGCGGCCUAUCAGCUUGUUGGUGAGGUAAUGGCUCACCAAGGCUUUGACGGGUAACCGGCCUGAGAGGGUGACCGGUCACACUGGGACUGAGACACGGCCCAGACUCCUACGGGAGGCAGCAGUGGGGAAUAUUGGACAAUGGGCGGAAGCCUGAUCCAGCAACGCCGCGUGAGGGAUGACGGCCUUCGGGUUGUAAACCUCUUUCAGUAUCGACGAAGUCCAUCUUUUGGGUGGGUGACGGUAGGUACAGAAGAAGGACCGGCCAACUACGUGCCAGCAGCCGCGGUAAUACGUAGGGUCCGAGCGUUGUCCGGAAUUAUUGGGCGUAAAGGGCUCGUAGGCGGUUUGUCGCGUCGGGAGUGAAAACAGCGGGCUUAACUCGUUGCUUGCUUCCGAUACGGGCAGACUAGAGGUAUGCAGGGGAGAAUGGAAUUCCUGGUGUAGCGGUGAAAUGCGCAGAUAUCAGGAGGAACACCGGUGGCGAAGGCGGUUCUCUGGGCAUUACCU
rnacentral:rRNA from 1 species